UGGUAUGGUAUGAUAUGGUGUGGUGAGGUAAUGUAUCAUACAUUACCUCGCCACACCAUAUCAUACCAUACCA